ACGAAAUUGUGAUUUCCACUGUGUGUACAUCUCCAGGCGCACCCAAGUGUGAUAUUGAGAAAUUCAUGACCACGCACUUUGCAUGGGAAGGCCGUGAUGACACUACCCCUGC
rnacentral:lncRNA from 1 species